rnacentral:rRNA from 1 species
GAUGAACGCUGGCGGCGUGCCUAAUACAUGCAAGUCGAGCGAACAGACGAGGAGCUUGCUCCUCUGACGUUAGCGGCGGACGGGUGAGUAACACGUGGAUAACCUACCUAUAAGACUGGGAUAACUUCGGGAAACCGGAGCUAAUACCGGAUAACAUGUUGAACCGCAUGGUUCAACAGUGAAAGACGGUCUUGCUGUCACUUAUAGAUGGAUCCGCGCCGCAUUAGCUAGUUGGUAAGGUAACGGCUUACCAAGGCAACGAUGCGUAGCCGACCUGAGAGGGGGGUCGGCCACACUGGAACGGAGCCACAGACCGGGCUACUACGGGGGGCAACGGUCGGGAAUCCUCCGGAAGGGGCGAAAGCCUGACAGAGCAACGCCGCGUGAGUGAAGAAGGUCUUCGGAUCGUAAAACUCUUUUAUUAGGGAAGAACAUAUAUGUAAUUACCUGUGCACAUCUUGGCGGUACCUAAUCAGAAAGGCACGGCUAACUUCGUG